rnacentral:lncRNA from 1 species
GUUGAGAAAAGAACUCUUUAAGUAGUUGCUAAUGGUCAAUAGAGUACAAGUGUUGUUAAGGACAUCCCAUAAGGUAGGGUGCUGGUCUAUAGUACAUUAGAGUACAAGGGAAGGGCUGGUCCUAGGAGAUAUCCCAUAUGGAUUGUAGCACUUGCUACCUUGGUACUAGUAUAUAAGGAAAGGGUUGGCAUGGGAAGAAUUAUCUCAUACCAUGCUCUAUUUGUUAUAGUGUAACCUUGCUGGUCCUAACUUACUUGUGUGGAGUAUGCUUUCUAUGUUUCAAUAGGUUAUGGGCCCACAUUCUCUUACCAAGUAAGUUGUUCUUGCAUUUUAUUUUCUUUGUUGCUUGUUUGGUGGUUGAGAUCUUAUGGUAUAGUAUUACUAGUGUUUUGUUGAAGUCAUUACUCCUGAAUUUGUGAGUGUAUGAGGUUAGUGCAAGACCUUGAUAGUGUCUUUGCUGAAGUAACACUAGUAUUUGAGAGUUUUAUGAGAAAUUGAGUCAUUUUGAGUGAGGUGAUGUGAGGGAGAUGUUUGAAAGCCAUAGAAUUACAUGACAUAGUAUUUCCCACCAUUGAGACGUGAUUUGGACUCAAAGUAUGCAAAAAGUUGCAAAACAGCGA